rfam:Felis catus isolate Cinnamon breed Abyssinian chromosome D4, whole genome shotgun sequence.
GCCUGGGUGGCUCAGUCGGUUGAGCGUCCGACUUCAGCUCAGGUCGCGAUCUCAUGAUCUCGCGGUCCGUGAGUUCGAGCCCCACGUCGGGCU